GAUGAACGCUGGCGGCGUGCCUAAUACAUGCAAGUCGAGCGAACGGACGAGAAGCUUGCUUCUCUGAUGUUAGCGGCGGACGGGUGAGUAACACGUGGAUAACCUACCUAUAAGACUGGGAUAACUUCGGGAAACCGGAGCUAAUACCGGAUAAUAUUUUGAACCGCAUGGUUCAAAAGUGAAAGACGGUCUUGCUGUCACUUAUAGAUGGAUCCGCGCUGCAUUAGCUAGUUGGUAAGGUAACGGCUUACCAAGGCAACGAUGCAUAGCCGACCUGAGAGGGUGAUCGGCCACACUGGAACUGAGACACGGUCCAGACUCCUACGGGAGGCAGCAGUAGGGAAUCUUCCGCAAUGGGCGAAAGCCUGACGGAGCAACGCCGCGUGAGUGAUGAAGGUCUUCGGAUCGUAAAACUCUGUUAUUAGGGAAGAACAUAUGUGUAAGUAACUGUGCACAUCUUGACGGUACCUAAUCAGAAAGCCACGGCUAACUACGUGCCAGCAGCCGCGGUAAUACGUAGGUGGCAAGCGUUAUCCGGAAUUAUUGGGCGUAAAGCGCGCGUAGGCGGUUUUUUAAGUCUGAUGUGAAAGCCCACGGCUCAACCGCGGAGGGUCAUUGGAAACUGGAAAACUUGAGUGCAGAAGAGGAAAGUGGAAUUCCAUGUGUAGCGGUGAAAUGCUCAGAGAUAUGGAGGAACACCAGUGGCGAAGGCGACUUUCUGGUCUGUAACUGACGCUGAUGUGCGAAAGCGUGGGGAUCAAACAGGAUUAGAUACCCUGGUAGUCCACGCCGUAAACGAUGAGUGCUAAGUGUUAGGGGGUUUCCGCCCCUUAGUGCUGCAGCUAACGCAUUAAGCACUCCGCCUGGGGAGUACGACCGCAAGGUUGAAACUCAAAGGAAUUGACGGGGACCCGCACAAGCGGUGGAGCAUGUGGUUUAAUUCGAAGCAACGCGAAGAACCUUACCAAAUCUUGACAUCCUUUGACAACUCUAGAGAUAGAGCCUUCCCCUUCGGGGGACAAAGUGACAGGUGGUGCAUGGUUGUCGUCAGCUCGUGUCGUGAGAUGUUGGGUUAAGUCCCGCAACGAGCGCAACCCUUAAGCUUAGUUGCCAUCAUUAAGUUGGGCACUCUAAGUUGACUGCCGGUGACAAACCGGAGGAAGGUGGGGAUGACGUCAAAUCAUCAUGCCCCUUAUGAUUUGGGCUACACACGUGCUACAAUGGACAAUACAAAGGGCAGCGAAACCGCGAGGUCAAGCAAAUCCCAUAAAGUUGUUCUCAGUUCGGAUUGUAGUCUGCAACUCGACUACAUGAAGCUGGAAUCGCUAGUAAUCAUAGAUCAGCAUGCUACGGUGAAUACGUUCCCGGGUCU
rnacentral:rRNA from 1 species